AGUCAAGUAAUGAAGUGCACAUGGUGGAUGCCUUGGCAGUCAGAGGCGAUGAAAGACGUGACAGCCUGCGAAAAGCGUCGGGGAGGCGGCAAUAUCCUGUGAUCCGGCGAUAUCUGAAUGGGGAAACCCACUUGUCAUAAGACAGGUAUCGUAAAUUUAUUUACGAGGCAAACCGGGAGAAGUGAAACAUCUCAGUAACCCGAGGAAAAGACAUCAAUAGAGAUUCCCCUAGUAGCGGCGAGCGAACGGGGAGGAGCCGACUGAUUAUAAUUUAGAGGAAUGACUUGGAAAGGUCAAUCGUAGAGGGUGAUAAUCCCGUACUCGAAAGGUUAUAAGAAGCAUAUUAAGUAGGGCGGAACACGAGAAAUUCUGUCUGAAGAUGGGGGGACCAUCCUCCAAGGCUAAAUACUCCUGACUGACCGAUAGUGAACCAGUACCGUGAGGGAAAGGCGAAAAGAACCCCUGUGAGGGGAGUGAAAUAGAACCUGAAACCGUGUGCAUACAAGCAGUCGGAGCGGACAUGUUCCGUGACGGCGUACCUUUUGUAUAAUGGGUCAGCGACUUAUAUUCUGUAGCAAGGUUAACCGAAUAGGGGAGCCGUAGGGAAACCGAGUCUUAAUAGGGCGUCUAGUUGCAGGGUAUAGACCCGAAACCGAGUGAUCUAUCCAUGAGCAGGUUGAAAGUGACGUAACAGUUACCGGAGGACCGAACCCACUGUCGUUGAAAAGCCAGGGGAUGACUUGUGGAUAGGGGUGAAAGGCUAAUCAAACUCGGUGAUAGCUGGUUCUCCCCGAAAGCUAUUUAGGUAGCGCCUCGGACGAACACCAUUGGGGGUAGAGCACUGUUUCGGCUAGGGGGUCAUCCCGACUUACCAAACCGAUGCAAACUCCGAAUACCGAUGAGUGAUAUCCGGGAGACAGACGGCGGGUGCUAACGUCCGUCGUCAAGAGGGAAACAACCCAGACCGCCAGCUAAGGCCCCAAAUUCCUAGUUAAGUGGGAAACGAUGUGGGAAGGCACAGACAGCUAGGAGGUUGGCUUAGAAGCAGCCACCCUUUAAAGAAAGCGUAAUAGCUCACUAGUCGAGUCGGCCUGCGCGGAAGAUGUAACGGGGCUCAAACUAGGAGCCGAAGCUGCGGAUUUAAUUGUUUCAAUUAAGUGGUAGGGGAGCAUUGUGUAAGCCUGUGAAGGUGUGUUGUAAAGCAUGCUGGAGGUAUCACAAGAGCGAAUGCUGACGUGAGUAACGACAAAACGGGUGAAAAGCCCGUUCGCCGGAAGACCAAGGGUUCCAGUCCAACGUUAAUCGGGGCUGGGUGAGUCGACCCCUAAGGCGAGGCCGAAAGGCGUAGUCGAUGGGAAAUCGGUUAAUAUUCCGAUACUUGUUUAUGAUGCGAUGGAGGGACGGAGAAGGUUAUGCCAGCUUGGCGAUGGUUGUCCAAGUGGAAGGAUGUAGUUAGGUUUAGUAGGCAAAUCCGCUAGACUAUUAAUGAGAUCUGAUAGCAAGCUGUACUUGUACAGCGAAGUGGCAAAUACCCUGCUUCCAGGAAAAGCUUCUAAGCGAUAGUCAUAAAGAAAUCGUACCCUAAACCGACACAGGUGGUCAGGUAGAGAAUACCAAGGCGCUUGAGAGAACUCUGCUGAAGGAACUAGGCAAAAUGGUACCGUAACUUCGGGAGAAGGUACGCUGCCGAUGGUGAGUAGACAUGCUCUACAAAGCUAUUGGCAGUCGCAGAUACCAGGCCGCUGCAACUGUUUAUUAAAAACACAGCACUCUGCAAACACGAAAGUGGACGUAUAGGGUGUGAUGCCUGCCCGGUGCUGGAAGGUUAAUUGAUGGGGUUAGCGUAAGCGAAGCUCUUGAUCGAAGCCCCAGUAAACGGCGGCCGUAACUAUAACGGUCCUAAGGUAGCGAAAUUCCUUGUCGGGUAAGUUCCGACCUGCACGAAUGGCAUAAUGAUGGCGGCGCUGUCUCCAGCAGAGACUCAGUGAAAUCGAAAUCGCAGUGAAGAUGCUGUGUACCCGCGGCUAGACGGAAAGACCCCGUGAACCUUUACUACAGCUUUACAUUGAACUUUGACCUUACCUGUGUAGGAUAGGUGGGAGGCUUUGAAGCAGGCACGCCAGUGUCUGUGGAGCCAUCCUUGAAAUACCACCCUGGUAAUGUUGGGGUUCUAACUCAAGCUUAACAGAGCUGAGGACAAUGUAUGGUGGGUAGUUUGACUGGGGCGGUCUCCUCCUAAAGAGUAACGGAGGAGUACGAAGGUGCGCUCAGAACGGUCGGAAAUCGUUCGAAGAGUAUAAAGGCAAAAGCGCGCUUAACUGCGAGACCCACAAGUCGAGCAGAUACGAAAGUAGGUCUUAGUGAUCCGGUGGUUCUGUAUGGAAGGGCCAUCGCUCAACGGAUAAAAGGUACUCUGGGGAUAACAGGCUGAUACCGCCCAAGAGUUCAUAUCGACGGCGGUGUUUGGCACCUCGAUGUCGGCUCAUCUCAUCCUGGGGCUGAAGCAGGUCCCAAGGGUAUGGCUGUUCGCCAUUUAAAGAGGUACGCGAGCUGGGUUUAGAACGUCGUGAGACAGUUCGGUCCCUAUCUACCGUGGGCGUUGGAAAUUUGAGAGGAUCUGCUCCUAGUACGAGAGGACCAGAGUGGACGAACCUCUGGUGUUUCGGUUGUGACGCCAGUCGCAUUGCCGAGUAGCUAUGUUCGGAUGGGAUAACCGCUGAAAGCAUCUAAGCGGGAAGCCCACCUUAAGAUUAGAUUUCCCUAAAGAGCCGUUGUAGACUACGACGUUGAUAGGUUGGGUGUGGAAGCAUAGUGAUAUGUGUAGCUAACCAAUACUAAUUGCUCGUUUGGCUUGACUAU
rnacentral:rRNA from 1 species